rnacentral:rRNA from 1 species
UACAGAGGUGCAAGCGUUGUUCGGAUUUAUUGGGCGUAAAGGGUUCGUAGGCGGACCGGAAAGUCAGAUGUGAAAUCCCACAGCUCAACUGUGGAACUGCAUUUGAAACUUCCGGACUAGAGUGUGAGAGGGGUAAAGGGAAUUCCCGGUGUAAGGGUGAAAUCUGCAGAGAUCGGGAGGAACACCAGUCGCGAAGGCGCUUUACUGGCUCACUACUGACGCUCAGGAACGAAAGCUAGGGUAGCAAACGGG